UACCUCACACUGUCAGACCCCAGCCAAUGAGCAGCUUGACAAGAUCAAAUAUCACUAUAACACAAGGACUUAUUUGAUGAGAAGAGUUACAGCCAGUCUCCCCAUCCAUCGCCAAGGAGUCUCACUUCUUUCAACUUUUCUGAGGUGUAAAUCCACUGUCACCAUGUCUGACACCGAGGAAGUUGAUCAGAUCGAGGGUAAGUGAAAAAUUAACAAUAUUACUUUGAAAUAAUCUAUUCUUACUUUAAUGAUCAGUGAUACGUAUCUCCACAUGUAAUUAAACAAGGUGGAGUUGAAGCCUUCUGUACAACAGCAUCCUCUAUUCUUAGAGCUGUG